rnacentral:rRNA from 1 species
UACGGGGGGAGCAAGCGUUGUUCGGAUUUACUGGGCGUAAAGGGCGCGUAGGCGGUCGUGACAAGUCACUUGUGAAAUCUCCGGGCUUAACUCGGAACGGUCAAGUGAUACUGUCGGACUAGAGUACAGAAGGGGCAACUGGAAUUCUUGGUGUAGCGGUGAAAUGCGUAGAUAUCAAGAGGAACACCUGCGGCGAAGGCGGGUUGCUGGGCCGACACUGACGCUGAGGCGCGAAAGCCAGGGGAGCGAACGGG